rnacentral:rRNA from 1 species
AAUGAACGCUGGCGGCGUGCUUAACACAUGCAAGUCGUACGAGAACUCUUUAGCUUGCUAAAGAUAGUAAAGUGGCGUACGGGUGAGUAACGCGUGGGUAAUCUACCUCCGAAUCGGGGAUAACCCGCCGAAAGGCGAGCUAAUACCGGAUAAUAUCUAUAAAAUUUCGGUUUUAAAGAUCAAAGGUGGUCUCUACAUGUAAGCUACUGUUUGGAGAUGAGCCCGCGUACCAUUAGCUUGUUGGUAGGGUAAUGGCCUACCAAGGCUUCGAUGGUUAGCUGGUCUGAGAGGAUGAUCAGCCACACUGGAACUGACACACGGUCCAGACUCCUACGGGAGGCAGCAGUGAGGAAUUUUGCGCAAUGGGGGAAACCCUGACGCAGCAACGCCGCGUGAGUGAUGAAGGCUUUCGGGUCGUAAAGCUCUGUC